GAUGAACACUGGCGGCGUGCCUAAUACAUGCAAGUCGAGCGAACAGACGAGGAGCUUGCUCCUCUGACGUUAGCGGCGGACGGGUGAGUAACACGUGGAUAACCUACCUAUAAGACUGGGAUAACUUCGGGAAACCGGAGCUAAUACCGGAUAAUAUAUUGAACCGCAUGGUUCAAUGGUGAAAGACGGUUUUGCUGUCACUUAUAGCUGGAUCCGCGCCGCAUUAGCUAGUUGGUAAGGUAACGGCUUACCAAGGCAACGAUGCGUAGCCGACCUGAGAGGGUGAUCGGCCACACUGGAACUGAGACACGGUCCAGACUCCUACGGGAGGCAGCAGUAGGGAAUCUUCCGCAAUGGGCGAAAGCUUGACGGAGCAACGCCGCGUGAGUGAUGAAGGUCUUCGGAUCGUAAAACUCUGUUAUUAGGGAAGAACAAAUGUGUAAGUAACUAUGCACGUCUUGACGGUACCUAAUCAGAAAGCCACGGCUAACUACGUG
rnacentral:rRNA from 1 species